rnacentral:rRNA from 1 species
UUAAGUGAUUAAGCGUACACGGUGGAUGCCUUGGCAGUCAGAGGCGAUGAAGGACGUAUUAACUUGCGAUAAGCGUAGAUGAGGUAGUAAAAACCACUUGAGUCUACGAUUUCCGAAUGGGGAAACCCAACUGCAGCAGCAGUUAUCAUUAGAUGAAUACAUAGUCUAAUGAGGCGAACCGGGAGAACUGAAACAUCUAAGUACCCCGAGGAAAAGAAAUCAACCGAGAUUCCGAGAGUAGCGGCGAGCGAAAUCGGAGUAGCCCUUAAGCUUUUGCAGCGUUAGGUGAAGUGUCUGGAAAGGCACGCAAUAGAGGGUGAUAGCCCCGUAACCGAAGGCGCUGUUUAGGUGAAAACGAGUAAGGCGGGACACGUGAUAUCCUGUCUGAACAUGGGGGGACCAUCCUCCAAGGCUAAAUACUCCUGACUGACCGAUAGUGAACCAGUACCGUGAGGGAAAGGCGAAAAGAACCCCUGUGAGGGGAGUGAAAUAGAACCUGAAACCGUGUACGUACAAGCAGUAGGAGCCUCCUUUGUGGGGUGACUGCGUACCUUUUGUAUAAUGGGUCAGCGACUUAUAUUCAGUGGCGAGGUUAACCGAUUAGGGGAGCCGUAGCGAAAGCGAGUGUUAACUGCGCGUUCAGUCGCUGGAUAUAGACCCGAAACCGGGUGAUCUAGCCAUGGGCAGGUUGAAGGUUGAGUAACAUCAACUGGAGGACCGAACCGACUAAUGUUGAAAAAUUAGCGGAUGACUUGUGGCUAGGGGUGAAAGGCCAAUCAAACCCGGAGAUAGCUGGUUCUCCCCGAAAGCUAUUUAGGUAGCGCCUCGGACGAAUACUACUGGGGGUAGAGCACUGUUAAGGCUAGGGGGUCAUCCCGACUUACCAACCCUUUGCAAACUCCGAAUACCAGUAAGUACUAUCCGGGAGACACACGGCGGGUGCUAACGUCCGUCGUGGAGAGGGAAACAACCCAGACCGCCAGCUAAGGUCCCAAAUUACAGCUAAGUGGGAAACGAUGUGGGAAGGCUCAGACAGCUAGGAUGUUGGCUUAGAAGCAGCCAUCAUUUAAAGAAAGCGUAAUAGCUCACUAGUCGAGUCGGCCUGCGCGGAAGAUGUAACGGGGCUAAGCUGUAAACCGAAGCUGCGGCAAUGCUCGUGAGAGUAUUGGGUAGGGGAGCGUUCUGUAAGCCGUUGAAGGUGGAUUGUAAAGUCUGCUGGAGGUAUCAGAAGUGCGAAUGCUGACAUGAGUAACGAUAAAGGGAGUGAAAAACUCCCUCGCCGGAAGACCAAGGGUUCCUGUCCAACGUUAAUCGGGGCAGGGUAAGUCGACCCCUAAGGCGAGGCCGAAAGGCGUAGUCGAUGGGAAACGGGUUAAUAUUCCCGUACUUGUUGUGAAUGCGAUGGGGGGACGGAGAAGGCUAGGUGGGCCUGGCGACGGUCGUCCAGGUUCAAGUGCGUAGGCUGCAGAGUUAGGUAAAUCCGGCUCUGCGUUAGGCUGAGACACGAUGUCGAGCAUCUACGGAUGUGAAGUCAUUGAUGCCAUGCUUCCGGGAAAAGCCUCUAAGCUUCAGUUCACAAGAAAUCGUACCCCAAACCGACACAGGUGGUCGGGUAGAGAAUACCAAGGCGCUUGAGAGAACUCGGGUGAAGGAACUAGGCAAAAUGGUACCGUAACUUCGGGAGAAGGUACGCUCUUGACGGUGAAGUCCCUCGCGGAUGGAGCUGUUGGGAGUCGCAGAUACCAGGUGGCUGCAACUGUUUAUUAAAAACACAGCACUGUGCAAAAUCGUAAGAUGACGUAUACGGUGUGACGCCUGCCCGGUGCCGGAAGGUUAAUUGAUGGGGUUAGACUUCGGUCGAAGCUCUUGAUCGAAGCCCCGGUAAACGGCGGCCGUAACUAUAACGGUCCUAAGGUAGCGAAAUUCCUUGUCGGGUAAGUUCCGACCUGCACGAAUGGCGUAAUGAUGGCCACGCUGUCUCCACCCGAGACUCAGUGAAAUUGAAAUCGCUGUGAAGAUGCAGUGUACCCGCGGCUAGACGGAAAGACCCCGUGAACCUUUACUACAGCUUGGCACUGAACAUUGAACCUACAUGUGUAGGAUAGGUGGGAGGCUUUGAAGCGCAGUCGCUAGAUUGUGUGGAGCCAUCCUUGAAAUACCACCCUUGUAGUUUUGAUGUUCUAACUUUGGCCCGUCAUCCGGGUCGAGGACAGUGCCUGGUGGGUAGUUUGACUGGGGCGGUCUCCUCCCAAAGAGUAACGGAGGAGCACGAAGGUGGGCUAAACACGGUUGGACAUCGUGUGGUUAGUGCAAUGGCAUAAGCCCGCUUAACUGCGAGAAUGACAAUUCGAGCAGGUGCGAAAGCAGGUCAUAGUGAUCCGGUGGUUCUGAAUGGAAGGGCCAUCGCUCAACGGAUAAAAGGUACUCCGGGGAUAACAGGCUGAUACCGCCCAAGAGUUCAUAUCGACGGCGGUGUUUGGCACCUCGAUGUCGGCUCAUCACAUCCUGGGGCUGAAGUCGGUCCCAAGGGUAUGGCUGUUCGCCAUUUAAAGUGGUACGCGAGCUGGGUUUAGAACGUCGUGAGACAGUUCGGUCCCUAUCUGCCGUGGGCGUUGGAGAAUUGAAAGGGGCUGCUCCUAGUACGAGAGGACCGGAGUGGACGAACCACUGGUGUUCGGGUUGUGAUGCCAAUCGCAUUGCCCGGUAGCUAAGUUCGGGAUCGAUAACCGCUGAAAGCAUCUAAGCGGGAAGCGAGCCUUGAGAUGAGUUCUCCCUGGCGCUUAAAGCGUCCUGAAGGGUUGUUCGAGACUAGAACGUUGAUAGGCAGGGUGUGUAAGCGCUGUGAGGCGUUGAGCUAACCUGUACUAAUUGCCCGUGAGACUUAACCAU